UCUUGGUCAAUUAGAGGAAGUAAAAGUCGUAACAAGGUCUCCGUUGGUGAACCAGCGGAGGGAUCAUUACUGAGUUUACGCUCUACAACCCUUUGUGAACAUACCUAUAACUGUUGCUUCGGCGGGUAGGGUCUCCGCGACCCUCCCGGCCUCCCGCCUCCGGGCGGGUCGGCGCCCGCCGGAGGAUAACCAAACUCUGAUUUAACGACGUUUCUUCUGAGUGGUACAAGCAAAUAAUCAAAACUUUUAACAACGGAUCUCUUGGUUCUGGCAUCGAUGAAGAACGCAGCGAAAUGCGAUAAGUAAUGUGAAUUGCAGAAUUCAGUGAAUCAUCGAAUCUUUGAACGCACAUUGCGCCCGCCAGCAUUCUGGCGGGCAUGCCUGUUCGAGCGUCAUUUCAACCCUCAAGCUCUGCUUGGUGUUGGGGCCCUACAGCCGAUGUAGGCCCUCAAAGGUAGUGGCGGACCCUCCCGGAGCCUCCUUUGCGUAGUAACUUUACGUCUCGCACUGGGAUCCGGAGGGACUCUUGCCGUAAAACCCCCCAAUUUUCCAAAGGUUGACCUCGGAUCAGGUAGGAAUACCCGCUGAACUUAAGCAUAUCAAUAA
rnacentral:rRNA from 1 species